rnacentral:rRNA from 1 species
UACGAAGGGGGCUAGCGUUGCCCGGAAUUACUGGGCGUAAAGGGCGCGUAGGCGGACAGUUUAGUCAGAGGUGAAAGCCCAGGGCUCAACCUUGGAAUUGCCUUUGAUACUGGCUGUCUUGAGUUCGGGAGAGGUGAGUGGAAUGCCGAGUGUAGAGGUGAAAUUCGUAGAUAUUCGGCGGAACACCAGUGGCGAAGGCGACUCACUGGCCCGAUACUGACGCUGAGGCGCGAAAGCGUGGGGAGCGAACAGG